rnacentral:rRNA from 1 species
GAUGAACGCUGGCGGCGUGCCUAAUACAUGCAAGUCGAGCGAACAGAUGAGGAGCUUGCUCCUCUGACGUUAGCGGCGGACGGGGGAGUAACACGUGGAUAACCUACCUAUCAGACUGGGAUAACUUCGGGAAACCGGAGCUAAUACCGGAUAAUAUAUUGAACCGCAUGGUUCAAUAGUGAAAGACGGUUUUGCUGUCACUUAUAGAUGGAUCCGCGCCGCAUUAGCUAGUUGGUAAGGUAACGGCCUACCAAGGCAACGAUGCGUAGCCGACCUGAGAGGGUGAUCGGCCACCCGGGAACUGAGACACGGUCCAGACUCCUACGGGAGGCAGCAGUAGGGAAUCUUGCGCAAUGGGCGAAAGCCUGACGGAGCAACGCCGCGCGAGUGAUGACGAUCUUCGGAUCGUAAAACUCUGUUAUUAGGGAAGAACAAGUGUGUAAGUAACUAUGCACGUCUUGACGGUACCUAAUCAGAAAGACACGGCUAACGACGUG